rnacentral:rRNA from 1 species
UGGGGAAUUUUGCGCAAUGGGCGAAAGCCUGACGCAGCAACGCCGCGUGGGUGAUGAAGGUCUUCGGAUUGUAAAACCCUGUCGUCGGGGACGAAGGUAGGGGGGUUAACAGCCCUUUUGCUUGACGGUACCCGGAGAGGAAGCCCCGGCUAACUCUGUGCCAGCAGCCGCGGUAAUACAGAGGGGGCAAGCGUUAUUCGGAAUUAUUGGGCGUAAAGGGCGCGUAGGCGGUGCCAUAAGUGAGAUGUGUAAUCCCCGGGCUCAACCUGGGAACUGCAUCUCAGACUGUGGUGCUGGAGUGCUGGAGAGGGUGGUGGAAUUCCUCGUGUAGCGGUGAAAUGCGUAGAGAUGAGGAGGAACACCAGUGGCGAAGGCGGCCACCUGGACAGUAACUGACGCUGAGGCGCGAAAGUGUGGGUAGCAAACAGG